AGGACGAACGCUGGCGGCGCGCCUAAUACAUGCAAGUCGAACGGGUACCUCUUCGGAGGUGCUAGUGGCGGACGGGUGAGUAACACGUGGGCGACCUGCCUUUGAGUGGGGAAUAACGCUGGGAAACCAGCGCUAAUACCGCAUGCGCUCGCUGUUUCAUUACGGCGAGGAAAGCUUAAUGCGCUCAAAGAGGGGCCUGCGGCGGAUUAGCUAGUCGGUGGGGUAACGGCCUACCGAGGCAUCGAUCCGUAGCUGGUCUGAGAGGAUGAUCAGCCACACUGGGACUGAGACACGGCCCAGACUCCUACGGGAGGCAGCAGUAAGGAAUCUUCCACAAUGGGGGC
rnacentral:rRNA from 1 species